rnacentral:misc_RNA from 1 species
UACGGAGGGUGCGAGCGUUAAUCGGAAUUACUGGGCGUAAAGCGCGCGUAGGCGGCUUGAUAAGCCGGUUGUGAAAUCCCCGGGCUCAACCUGGGAACUGCAUUCGGAACUGGCAAGCUUGAGUGCAGUAGAGGAAGGUAGAAUUCCCGGUGUAGCGGUGAAAUGCGUAGAGAUCGGGAGGAAUACCAGUGGCGAAGGCGGCCUUCUGGACUAACACUGACGCUGAGGUGCGAAAGCGUGGGUAGCAAACAGG